rnacentral:RNase_P_RNA from 1 species
UAAGUGAAUCGGGCAAUCGCGGAUCGCAUAGCGAUUCGAGGAAAGUCCGAGCUCCACAGAGCAGGGUGCUGGAUAACGUCCAGUCAGGGUGACCUGAAGGAAAGUGCCACAGAAAUAUACCGCCAGUAUUACUGGUAAGGGUGGAAUGGUGAGGUAAGAGCUCACCAGCAACCAGGUGACUGGUUGGCUAGGUAAACCCCACUCGGAGCAAGACCUAAUAGGGAAGAAUUAAGGGCUGCUCGUCCGCUCUUCCGGGUUGGUCGCUAGAGGUGUUGGGUAACCAACAUCCCAGAUAGAUGAUUGCCGCCUCGCAAGAGGUACUGAACUCGGCUUAUAGAUUCACUUAUGAA